UACGUAGGGGGCGAGCGUUGUCCGGAUUCAUUGGGCGUAAAGAGCGUGUAGGCGGCCCGGUAAGUCCGCUGUGAAAGUCAAAGGCUCAACCUUUGAAUGUCAGCGGAUACUGCCGGGCUAGAGUCCGGAAGAGGCGAGUGGAACUCCUGGUGUAGCGGUGGAAUGCGCAGAUAUCAGGAAGAACACCAACGGCGAAGGCAGCUCGCUGGGACGGUACUGACGCUGAGACGCGAAAGCGUGGGGAGCGAACAGG
rnacentral:rRNA from 1 species